GCUCUAUUCCAGAAGCAGUCUGGAGCACAAAGAAUCCCUAAUCACUGACAUUAAGAAAGAAGAAAAAUAUUCCUAGGACGAUCCUGGAGAGCAAAGGUCAUCAGCAGUCACUUGACUUUCCUUGGAUUUCUCAACUGCAGUAGUCACAUGGUCUGCUGAAAAUGAAUUCUCUUUAUUUUCAUCUGAUUUCAAGGAAUUAUGGUUUUCAGUGAUUUCUUCAUUUGGAUCUAUUUUGAGACAGAGUAAUAGCAUUAAAACCCCCUUCUGAAUUAAUAAGGUAACAUGGGCUUAAAAUCACUCAAUUCACUAUUGGAUUCUUUGGAGCUGUUAAUCUGUUCAGUGAAAAGAACAAGAACUUUGGAACUCAAGAUUUAACUAUGGUUCCAUCACUGACCUUGGGCAUUUGUUGCUGAAACGCAAAGUGUGACAAGCCAAUGGAGGCCAAGAUUUGAUUUUGAUAGCUCUUCCUACAAUUAUCCUUUGAAGGAAAGCAUAAAGAAGACAGUAUUUUAUGGGUGCAAAGGAAAUUAUAUGUCAAAAGCAAUGGAGAGAAAACAUUUGAGAAAAUGGAAGAAGUGCUGAGACACUGGAGUCUACCCUGAAAGAUAAAGCUUCACCUGAGGAGAUCUGCAAAUUAGUAGCUUUUUGCCAGAAGGCAUUCUCCAGUCUAUGCAGCUCAAGUAAUAGAAGGCUACAGCCUUGGUGGAAUGACUUGAGGGAACAGGGGACUGAGUCUAGGACCAUCAGAUCAGCCAAUAAGUAUGUGGAAAAUAGCAGAGGACAGUGACCACAAAAUCUGCAUAUGAAAUUCACCAAAAACCUUUACCACCUCUAUUUGUGGCAUAAGGGAGACCUCAGAGGAUCCUGUAAAAGCAUAGAAGCUAGAAACUGAAAAGAAUUAAGCAGAAAUUUCAGCUGAUAUCCACUGCAGGAGAAACAGGAUUGGGAAUUUGUGUCCAGCCAUGAU
ensembl:lncRNA MAP9-AS1 MAP9 antisense RNA 1